rnacentral:rRNA from 1 species
AAGGAGAGUUUGAUCCUGGCUCAGAAGGAACGCUGGCAGCGUGCAUAACACAUGCAAGUCGAACGAUGAAGCAUUCUUCGGAAUGUGGAAGAGUGGCGAACGGGUGAGGAACACGUAAGAAUCUGCCCCUCGGUCGGGGACAACUCUUGGAAACGAGAGCUAAUACCCGAUACGCUGUGGAGUGAAAGAAUUUCGCCGAGGGAUGAUCUUGCGUCUGAUUAGCUAGUUGGUGUGGUAAAGGCAUACCAAGGCGACGAUCAGUAGCUGGUCUGAGAGGAUGAACAGCCACAUUGGAACUGAGACACGGUCCAAACUCCUACGGGAGGCAGCAGUGGGGAAUUUUCCGCAAUGGGCGAAAGCCUGACGGAGCAACGCCGCGUGAGGGAUGAAGGCCUCUGGGCUGUAAACCUCUUUUAUCAAGGAAGAAGAUCUGACGGUACUUGAUGAAUAAGCCACGGCUAAUUCCGUGCCAGCAGCCGCGGUAAUACGGGAGUGGCAAGCGUUAUCCGGAAUUAUUGGGCGUAAAGCGUCUGCAGGUUGAUGUAAAAGUCUUUUGUUAAAUAUCAGGGCUCAACCCGGAAUCUGCAAAAGAAACUAUAUAUCUCGAGUAUGGUAGAGGUAAGGGGAAUUUCCAGUGGAGCGGUGAAAUGCGUAGAUAUUGGAAAGAACACCAAUUGCGAAGGCACUUUACUGGGCUAUUACUGACACUCAGAGACGAAAGCUAGGGUAGCAAAUGGGAUUAGAUACCCCAGUAGUCCUAGCCGUAAACAAUGGAUACUAGAUGUUGGACAGAUCGACCUGUGCAGUAUCAAAGCUAACGCGUUAAGUAUCCCGCCUGGGAAGUAUGCUCGCAAGAGUGAAACUCAAAGGAAUUGACGGGGGCCCGCACAAGCGG